CCUAAGGUAGCGAAAUUCCUUGUCGGGUAAGUUCCGACCUGCACGAAUGGCGUAAUGAUGGCCAGGCUGUCUCCACCCGAGACUCAGUGAAAUUGAACUCGCUGUGAAGAUGCAGUGUACCCGCGGCAAGACGGAAAGACCCCGUGAACCUUUACUAUAGCUUGACACUGAACAUUGAGCCUUGAUGUGUAGGAUAGGUGGGAGGCUUUGAAGCGUGGACGCCAGUCUGCGUGGAGCCAACCUUGAAAUACCACCCUUUAAUGUUUGAUGUUCUAACGUAGGCCCCUAAUCGGGGUUGCGGACAGUGUCUGGUGGGUAGUUUGACUGGGGCGGUCUCCUCCCAAAGAGUAACGGAGGAGCACGAAGGUUAGCUAAUCCUGGUCGGACAUCAGGAGGUUAGUGCAAUGGCAUAAGCUAGCUUGACUGCGAGCGUGACGGCGCGAGCAGGUGCGAAAGCAGGUCAUAGUGAUCCGGUGGUUCUGAAUGGAAGGGCCAUCGCUCAACGGAUAAAAGGUACUCCGGGGAUAACAGGCUGAUACCGCCCAAGAGUUCAUAUCGACGGCGGUGUUUGGCACCUCGAUGUCGGCUCAUCACAUCCUGGGGCUGAAGUAGGUCCCAAGGGUAUGGCUGUUCGCCAUUUAAAGUGGUACGCGAGCUGGGUUUAGAACGUCGUGAGACAGUUCGGUCCCUAUCUGCCGUGGGCGCUGGAGAAUUGAGGGGGGCUGCUCCUAGUACGAGAGGACCGGAGUGGACGCAUCACUGGUGUUCGGGUUGUCAUGCCAAUGGCACUGCCCGGUAGCUAAAUGCGGAAGAGAUAAGUGCUGAAAGCAUCUAAGCACGAAACUUGCCCCGAGAUGAGUUCUCCCUGAGACU
rnacentral:rRNA from 1 species